AUUGAACGCUGGCGGCAUGCCUUACACAUGCAAGUCGAACGGCAGCACGGGAGCAAUCCUGGUGGCGAGUGGCGAACGGGUGAGUAAAGUAUCGGAACGUGCCCAGUCGUGGGGGAUAACGUAGCGAAAGUUACGCUAAUACCGCAUACGAUCUAUGGAUGAAAGCGGGGGAUCGCAAGACCUCGCGCGAUUGGAGCGGCCGAUAUCAGAUUAGGUAGUUGGUGGGGUAAAGGCUCACCAAGCCGACGAUCUGUAGCUGGUCUGAGAGGACGACCAGCCACACUGGGACUGAGACACGGACCAGACUCCUACGGGAGGCAGCAGUGGGGAAUUUUGGACAAUGGGCGAAAGCCUGAUCCAGCCAUGCUGCGUGCAGGAUGAAGGCCUUCGGGUUGUAAACUGCUUUUGUACGGAACGAAAAGGUUUGGCCUAAUAAGCUGAGCUCAUGACGGUACCGUAAGAAUAAGCACCGGCUAACUACGUGCCAGCCGCCGCCGUAA
rnacentral:rRNA from 1 species